UACAGAGGGGGCAAGCGUUGUUCGGAAUUACUGGGCGUAAAGGGCGCGUAGGCGGCCUUCUAAGUCGAACGUGAAAUCCCCGGGCUCAACCCGGGAACUGCGUCCGAUACUGGAAGGCUUGAAUCCGGGAGAGGGAUGCGGAAUUCCAGGUGUAGCGGUGAAAUGCGUAGAUAUCGAGAGGAACACCUGCGGCGAAGGCGGGUUGCUGGGCUGACACUGACGCUGAGGCGCGAAAGCUAGGGGAGCGAACGGG
rnacentral:rRNA from 1 species